rnacentral:rRNA from 1 species
CAAUUCAUUUGAGUUUUAACCUUGCGGUCGUACUCCCCAGGCGGUGUGUUUAUCGGUUUCCUGCGACACUGAAAAUAAAUUUCCAACGUCUAACACACAUCGUUUACGGCAUGGACUACGAGGGUAUCUAAUCCUCUUCGCUACCCAUGCUUUCGUUCCUCAGUGUCAGUAAUGAUCCAGAAAGCUGCCUUCGCAAUUGGUAUUCUUUCUAAUAUCUACGAAUUUCACCUCUACACUAGAAAUUCUGCUUUCCUCUAUCAUACUCUAGCUGAAAAGUUUUGAUGGCAGUUCCAGAGUUAAGCUCUGGGAUUUCACCACCAACUUUUUCAACCACCUACGAACUCUUUAAGCCCAGUAAUUCCGAACUACGCUAGGUCCCUUCGUAUUACCGCGGCUGCUGGCACGAAGUUAGCCGGACCCUCUUAUUCGGGUACAGUCAUUUUCUUCCCCGACGAAAGAGCUUUACAACCCAAAGGCCUUCUUCACUCACGCGGCAUCGCUGCAUCAGAGUUUCCUCCAUUGUGCAAGAUUCCCCACUGCUGCCUCCCGUAGGAGUUUGGGCCGUGUCUCAGUCCCAAUGUGGCUGAUCAUCCUCUCAAAUCAGCUAUUGAUCAUAGUCUUGGUAGGCCAUUACCCUACCAACAAACUAAUCAAGUGCGGGCUCAUCCAAUGGUGCAUAAAGCUUUCUCCGUAAAGACUUAUCCGGUAUUAGCACAAGUUUCCUCGUGUUAUUCCAGGCCAAAGGGUAGAUACCCACAUGUUACUCACCCGUCUGCCACUAAGUAUUGCUACUUCGUUCGACUUGCAUGUGUUAGGCGUGCCGCCAGCGUACGUUCUGAGCCAGGAUCAAACUCU